GGGCGUAAAGGGGGCGUAGGCGGAGAUGUAAGUCAGAUGUGAAAUUCCGAAGCUUAACUUCGGAGCUGCGUCUGAAACUACAUCCCUUGAGGGUAGACGGAGAGAACGGAAUUCCAAGUGUAGCGGUGAAAUGCGUAGAAAUUUGGAAGAACACCCGUGGCGAAAGCGGUUCUCUAGUUUACACCUGACGCUAAGGCCCGAAAGCGAGGGGAGCAAACAGGAUUAGAUACCCUGGUAGUCCUCGCCGUAAACGAUGUGUACUUGGUGUAGUCGGACUCAACCCCGAUUGUGCCGGAGCUAACGUGUUAAGUACACCGCCUGGGGAGUACGCCCGCAAGGGUGAAACUCAAAAGAAUUGACGGGGACCCGCACAAGCAGUGGAGCAUGUGGUUUAAUUCGAUGCAACGCGAAGAACCUUACCCAGACUUGACAUCUAGGAGACCGCUCUAGAAAUAGAGCCUUUCGUAUGAACUGCUAGACAGGUGCUGCAUGGCUGUCGUCAGCUCGUGCCGUGAGGUGUUGGGUUAAGUCCCGCAACGAGCGCAACCCUUAUCGUUAGUUGCCAACACGUAAUGGUGGGAACUCUAACGAGACCGCCUGGGUUAACCAGGAGGAAGGUGAGGAUGACGUCAAGUCAGCAUGGCCCUUAUGUCUGGGGCUACACACGUGCUACAAUGGUCGAUACAGAGGGCAGCGAAACCGCAAGGUCAAGCCAAUCCCAGAAAGUCGGCCCCAGUUCGGAUUGUGGUCUGCAACUCGACCGCAUGAAGCCGGAAUUGCUAGUAAUGGCGUGUCA
rnacentral:rRNA from 1 species